ACAAAUGCUUCCCAUGUCCAGCUGGGUUUCACUGUCAGCACGGCAUAAUGCAACAUUGUCCACCUGGCUUUUACUGCCCCCAGAAGACUGGAAUCAGCUUUUACCCGUGUCCAGCUGGGACUUACAACCCAUCUCAUGGAAUCAGCCAGGCCGAGAGGUGCCAGCAAUGCCCUGCAGGGAUGUUUUGUGGAGAAUGGGGAUUAUCCUCUCCGAGUGGCCCCUGCUGGCCAGGAUUCUUCUGCACAGCAGGAGCCAGUGUCCCAAACCCUGAUGGAGCCACAAAUACAAGCACUGGAGGCCCAUGCCCACCUGGGCAUUUUUGCCCAGCUGGCACCAGCAUCCCAUUUCCAUGCCCUGUGGGCACAUUCUCGGACAG